AUUGAACGCUGGCGGCAGGCCUAACACAUGCAAGUCGAGCGGAUGAAGGGAGCUUGCUCCUGGAUUCAGCGGCGGACGGGUGAGUAAUGCCUAGGAAUCUGCCUGGUAGUGGGGGAUAACGUCCGGAAACGGGCGCUAUACCGCAUACGUCCUGAGGGAGAAAGUGGGGGAUCUUCGGACCUCACGCUAUCAGAUGAGCCUAGGUCGGAUUAGCUAGUUGGUGGGGUAAAGGCCUACCAAGGCGACGAUCCGUAACUGGUCUGAGAGGAUGAUCAGUCACACUGGAACUGAGACGCGGUCCAGACUCCUACGGGAGGCAGCAGUGGGGAAUAUUGGACAAUGGGCGAAAGCCUGAUCCAGCCAUGCCGCGUGUGUGAAGAAGGUCUUCGGAUUGUAAAGCACUUUAAGUUGGGAGGAAGGGCAGUAAGUUAAUACCUUGCUGUUUUGACGUUACUAACAGAAUAAGCACCGGCUAACUUCGUG
rnacentral:rRNA from 1 species